rnacentral:rRNA from 1 species
UACGUAGGGCGCAAGCGUUGUCCGGAAUUAUUGGGCGUAAAGAGCUCGUAGGCGGUUUGUCGCGUCUGACCGUGAAAGCUGGGGCUUAACCCUUAGUCGUCGCGGUGGAUACGGGCAGGCUGGAGGCAGGUAGGGGAGAACGGAAUUCCCGGUGUAGCGGUGAAAUGCGUAGAUAUCGUAAGGAAGACCAGUGGCGAAGGCGGGUCGCUGGACAGUUCCUGG